rnacentral:misc_RNA from 1 species
UGGUUCUGGCAUCGAUGAAGAACGCAGCGAAAUGCGAUAAGUAAUGUGAAUUGCAGAAUUCAGUGAAUCAUCGAAUCUUUGAACGCACAUUGCGCCCAUUAGUACUCUAGUGGGCAUGCCUGUUCGAGCGUCAUUUCAACCCUUAAGCCCUUGUUGCUUAGCGUUGGGAGCCUACAGCACUGUAGCUCCCCAAAGUUAGUGGCGGAGUCGGCUCACACUCUAGGCGUAGUAAUCUUUCACCUCGCCUGUAGUUGGACCGGUCUCCUGCCGUAAAACACCCCCCAUUUCUAAAAGGUUGACCUCGGAUCAGGUAGGAAUACCCGCUGA